UCUCUCUCUCUCUCUCCCCGUUCUCCGUGUCUGUCUCUCUCUCUCUCUCUCCCCGUUCUCCGUGUCUGUCUCUCUCUCUCUCUCCCCGUUCUCCGUGUCUGUCUCUCUCUCUCUCUCCCCGUUCUCCGUGUCUGUCUCUCUCUCUCUCUCUCCCCGUUCUCCGUGUCUCUCUCUCUCUCUCUCUCUCCCCGUUCUCCGUGUCUGUCUCUCUCUCUCUCUCCC